UACAGAGACCUCAAGCGUUAUCCGGAAUCAUUGGGCGUAAAGCGUACCGAUAGGUGGUUGUACAAGUCAGAUGUGAAAUCUCCGAGCUCAACUCGGAAUCUGUCAUUUGAAACUGUACGACUAGAGGGGCAAAGAGGAAGCUAGAACGAACGGUGUAGUAGUGAAAUGCGUUGAUAUCGUUCGGAAUACCGAUAGCGAAGGCAGGCUUCUGGGUGCCACCUGACACUGCUAGGACGAAAGCGUGGGGAGCGAAUGGG
rnacentral:rRNA from 1 species